AGAGUUUGAUCCUGGCUCAGGAUGAACGCUAGCGGCAGGCUUAAUACAUGCAAGUCGAGGGGCAGCACGGGUAGCAAUACCUGGUGGCGACCGGCAAACGGGUGCGGAACACGUACGCAACUUUCCUUCAACUGAGGAAUAGCCCAGGGAAACUUGGAUUAAUACCUCGUAACAUUAUGAAGUGGCAUCACUUUAUAAUUAUAGCUCAGGCGGUUGAAGAUGGGCGUGCGCCUGAUUAGGUAGUUGGCGGGGUAACGGCCCACCAAGCCUACGAUCAGUAACUGGUGUGAGAGCACGACCAGUCACACGGGCACUGAGACACGGGCCCGACUCCUACGGGAGGCAGCAGUAAGGAAUAUUGGGCAAUGGACGCAAGUCUGACCCAGCCAUGCCGCGUGGAGGAUGAAGGUCCUCUGGAUUGUAAACUUCUUUUAUCUGGGAAGAAAUCCAUAUUUUCUAAUGUGGUUGACGGUACCAGAUGAAUAAGCACCGGCUAACUCCGUGCCAGCAGCCGCGGUAAUUC
rnacentral:rRNA from 1 species